GCUUACCCUGUUGAAUAUGGAGGGUUGUCCUGUCACUGCAGCGUGCCUGGAGUCUCUUUCAGGUAUUGUCUGUACGAAAUUAGACUGUACGCGAAUAUAGCAUUCCGGGCUGUCAGUUAACUACUUGGCAAUUGUAAUGACUAAAGCCUGUUUGCUAGUCCUAUCGAUGUUAAAAUCUAGUGAUGGGGGUUUUACCAAAUCUGAGAAAUCCUCUACUUCAGAAAAUGCUUGUUUCCUUUGCCACCUUCCCAUUUUUUAAUUUCAGUUUUUGAUGUAUGUUUUUCCUGUUUUUGCAGCUCUUCAUGCUCUGCUAUAUUUAAACCUGAGCAGAUGUUGUUUGACUGAUGAUGGGUGUGAGAAGUUUUCGAGUGAGUUUAUAUUUUUAUUAUUAAUUUAUCGGCUCUUAUGUUCUGACUUGGCACAUCAUUUCAGAUGCAUUGUG
rnacentral:lncRNA from 1 species